AACGUAGGAGACAAACGUUAUCCGGAGUUACUGGGCGUAAAGGGCGUGUAGGCGGUCCGCUAAGUCUGAUGUGAAAGCCCGGGGCUCACCCUCGGAAGGGCAUUGGAAACUGACGGACUCGAGUCCCGAAGAGGAGGGUGGAAGUUCCUAGGUGUAGCGGUGAAAUGCGUAGAUAUCAGGAGGAACACCGGUGGCGAAGGCGGCCCUCUGGACGGUGACUGACGCUGGAGACGCGAAAGCGUGGGGAGCAAACAGG
rnacentral:rRNA from 1 species